GACGAACGCUGGCGGCGUGCCUAAUACAUGCAAGUCGAGCGGACAGAAGGGAGCUUGCUCCCGGAUGUUAGCGGCGGACGGGUGAGUAACACGUGGGUAACCUGCCUGUAAGACCGGGAUAACUCCGGGAAACCGGAGCUAAUACCGGAUAGUUCCUUGAACCGCAUGGUUCAAGGAUGAAAGACGGUUUCGGCUGUCACUUACAGAUGGACCCGCGGCGCAUUAGCUAGUUGGUGAGGUAACGGCUCACCAAGGCGACGAUGCGUAGCCGACCUGGGAGGGGGAUGGGCCACACUGGGACUGAGACACGGCACAGACUCCUACGGGAGGCAGCAGUAGGGAAGCUUCCGCAAUGGGCGAAAGUCUGACGGAGCAACGCCGCGUGAGUGAUGAAGGUUUUCGGAUCGUAAAGCUCUGUUGUUAGGGAAGAACAAGUGCAAGAGUAACUGCUUGCACCUUGACGGUACCUAACCAGAAAGCCACGGCUAACUACGUGCCAGCCGCCGCCGUAAGAC
rnacentral:rRNA from 1 species